UAGAAAAAAUAAAAGAAAUUUGUUUUUAGUAUUAUAUUGUGGCUAAUGAAGGAGUUAAAAAGUCCUUCCAGUCAGUUGCAACAACAAUUAAAGCAGCAGGAAACAGCCAAGUACACAUGCAAGUGAUUGUUAUGAGGAUUGCAAAAGUUUUAGAUAUCAGAAACUGAAGAAGGCAUUGAUAAUCAGCAGAUA